AUGCAGUGUGUGUAUUGGAUGCAGGUUGUGCAGCGGAUGCAGUGUGUGUAUUGGAUGCAGGUUCUGCAAUGGAUGCAGUGUGUGCCGCGGAUGCAGGUUGUGUAGCGGAUGCAGGUUGUGCAGUGGAUGCAGUGUGUAUUGGAUGCAGGUUGUGCAGCGGAUGCAGUGUGUGUAGCGGAUGCAGGUUGUGCAGAGGAUGCAGUGUGUGUAUUGGAUGCAGGUUGUGCAGCGGAUGCAGUGUGUGUAGCGGAUGCAGGUUGUGCAGCGGAUGCAGUG